rnacentral:rRNA from 1 species
AAGUCGUAACAAGGUUUCCGUAGGUGAACCUGCGGAAGGAUCAUUACCGAAUUGUCAAACGUGGGUUGUUGCUGGUCCUCGAACGGGGACAUGUGCACGCUCCGUUUACACAUCCACUUACACCUGUGCACCCUCUGUGGUUCUACGGUCCGGGGGACACCGUCUCCCUUCCGUGGUUCUGCACCUUUACACAUACACUGUAGCAAAGUCUUAUGGAAUGUGUGCCGCGUUUAACGCAAUACAAUACAACUUUCAGCAACGGAUCUCUUGGCUCUCGCAUCGAUGAAGAACGCAGCGAAAUGCGAUAAGUAAUGUGAAUUGCAGAAUUCAGUGAAUCAUCGAAUCUUUGAACGCACCUUGCGCCCCUUGGCUAUUCCGAGGGGCAUGCCUGUUUGAGUAUCAUGAACACCUCAACUCUCACGGUUCGCCGCGAUGAGCUUGGACUCUGGAGGUUUUGCUGGUCUCUGGUCAGCUCCUCUCAAAUGAAUCAGCUUGCCGGUAUCUGGUGGGCAUCAUGGGUGUGAUAACUAUCUACGCUCAGGACCGUCUGCCAGGUAACCUCCAGCGAUGGAGGUUUGCUGGGGCUCACAAACGUCUCUCUUCAGUGGGGACAGCUUU